rnacentral:rRNA from 1 species
AGGCGCUUUCGGGUGUCGCUGAUGGAUGGACCCGCGGUGCAUUAGCUAGUUGGUGAGGUAACGGCUCACCAAGGCGACGAUGCAUAGCCGACCUGAGAGGGUGAUCGGCCACAUUGGGACUGAGACACGGCCCAAACUCCUACGGGAGGCAGCAGUAGGGAAUCUUCGGCAAUGGACGAAAGUCUGACCGAGCAACGCCGCGUGAGUGAAGAAGGUUUUCGGAUCGUAAAACUCUGUUGUUAGAGAAGAACAAGGAUGAGAGUAACUGUUCAUCCCUUGACGGUAUCUAACCAGAAAGCCACGGCUAACUACGUGCCAGCAGCCGCGGUAAUACGUAGGUGGCAAGCGUUGUCCGGAUUUAUUGGGCGUAAAGUGAGCGCAGGCGGUUUCUUAAGUCUGAUGUGAAAGCCCCCGGCUCAACCGGGGAGGGUCAUUGGAAACUGGGAGACUUGAGUGCAGAAGAGGAGAGUGGAAUUCCAUGUGUAGCGGUGAAAUGCGUAGAUAUAUGGAGGAACACCAGUGGCGAAGGCGGCUCUCUGGUCUGUAACUGACGCUGAGGCUCGAAAGCGUGGGGAGCAAACAGGAUUAGAUACCCUGGUAGUCCACGCCGUAAACGAUGAGUGCUAAGUGUUGGAGGGUUUCCGCCCUUCAGUGCUGC